AACGUAGGUGGCAAGCGUUAUCCGGAAUUACUGGGCGUAAAGGGCUCGUAGGCGGCCAACUAAGUCGGACGUGAAAUCCCUCGGCUUAACCGGGGAACUGCGUCCGAUACUGGAUGGCUUGAGUUCGGGAGAGGGAUGCGGAAUUCCAGGUGUAGCGGUGAAAUGCGUAGAUAUCUGGAGGAACACCGGUGGCGAAGGCGGCAUCCUGGACCGACACUGACGCUGAGGAGCGAAAGCCAGGGGAGCAAACGGG
rnacentral:rRNA from 1 species